AUGGUUUUGCCGAGUACCCCUUCGUUUUGGAAAGACCGUCAAGUCCUUCGACGACAAGUGCAUGACCACAUGGAUUGUGCCAAGUACCCCUUCGAGCUAUCAAGACCGCAAGCGCCAAGUUACACGACGACCCUCGAAGACUUCAGAUUCGACAAGUCCGAUGACGCUCUUGUACAACUACGUUGCCGAGUUCGGGGCCGGCAAGACCGACGACGCGGAAACGCCAAGUACCUCUAUGGAAGACCUGAACGCCUACGGACGUGUACGACUACUGUUGCCCGAAGAACCGUGGUUCACAAGCGUCGUGAAUGA
rnacentral:rRNA from 1 species